UGAGGAAUAUUGGUCAAUGGGCGUGAGCCUGAACCAGCCAAGUCGCGUGAGGGACGAAGGCCCUACGGGUUGUAAACCUCUUUUAUAAGGGAAUAAAGGACAUCACGUGUGGUGUUUUGCAUGUACCUUAUGAAUAAGCAUCGGCUAACUCCGUGCCAGCAGCCGCGGUAAUACGGAGGAUGCGAGCGUUAUCCGGAUUCAUUGGGUUUAAAGGGUGCGUAGGUGGCUUGUUAAGUCAGCGGUGAAAGUCAGUGGCUCAACCAUUGAAUUGCCGUUGAAACUGGCGAGCUUGAGUACGUACGGGGCAGGCGGAAUGCGUGGUGUAGCGGUGAA
rnacentral:rRNA from 1 species